UGAUAGGCUGGGUGUGUAAGUGCAGCGAUGUAUUGAGCUAACCAGUACUAAUGAUCCGUGAGGCUUAACCUUACAACACCGAAGGUGUU
rnacentral:rRNA from 1 species